AGCCACCUCCCCGGGCUGCAGCAGCAGUGCAAGCCGAGCCUGCGGGCAGAAAAUAAUGCAGGCGCUGCAGAGGAGGGGAGGCAAGGGGAGAGGAGGGAAGGGAGAGGGGGUGGGGAGCCGAGAGCAGAAGAGAGCACAGAACGGAGAGGAGCCGGUAGCGGAGCACCCGCACCGGCGGCGGCCGGAGAGCGGGGCUCCAAGCUUGAUAUAGAAGACUAUCAUAUGAACCAGAAAGGGUAACUGAAACCAAAGAAAUGACUCCAGUAUCAAGCUAAAGACAUGCCUUAAAGGAUGAGGAGGAGCAGAAAUCUUACCAGCAAGGCAAGAAAGAAGCCGUACGUGAACAGCCUCUGCUUUAGGCCCAGAAGGAAAAGAAGCUUACAGGAGACAAUCAGUCUUACACUCUUCCAUGGUCACAAACAAGAGGUCCCUGGAUCUACAGGUCAUCUUGCCCCUGAAAUGGCCCUGGAAAGCUAUGGCUGAAGAAUGGAGGAAAAGAUGACUUUCUCUGUUUCUUCAGACCAGGCAUCAACUGGGAUGUUGGGAUGUUGAUAAAAGGACAUCUCAUCCUUUGUUUUCUGCCUAUGCUUUCACCAUACCCAUUCCCAUGUCUGGUCAUCACAGCAUCCUUCACAGCCCUUAGCUGAAUCAUGUUGAGUACAGGAUGGUGUGAAUAUCAUGGUUUGAAUGCAACCAUGGUCUGUCAGUGUGGCUUGUUUUUUGCAGCCCACUUAGACUUAAGCCCUCUUAAUUUCAAAAUUACGUUCAUAUGUGCCAAUAAAGUUGUCCCUACAUGAACUGAAAAA
rnacentral:lncRNA from 1 species